rnacentral:rRNA from 1 species
GAUGAACGCUGGCGGCGUGCCUAAUACAUGCAAGUCGAGCGAACAGACGAGGAGCUUGCUCCUCUGACGUUAGCGGCGGACGGGUGAGUAACACGUGGAUAACCUACCUAUAAGACUGGGAUAACUUCGGGAAACCGGAGCUAAUACCGGAUAAUAUAUUGAACCGCAUGGUUCAAUAGUGAAAGACGGUUUUGCUGUCACUUAUAGAUGGAUCCGCGCCGCAUUAGCUAGUUGGUAAGGUAACGGCUUACCAAGGCGACGAUGCGUAGCCGACCUGAGAGGGUGAUCGGCCACACUGGAACUGAGACACGGUCCAGACUCCUACGGGAGGCAGCAGUAGGGAAUCUUCCGCAAUGGGCGAAAGCCUGACGGAGCAACGCCGCGUGAGUGAUGAAGGUCUUCGGAUCGUAAAACUCUGUUAUUAGGGAAGAACAAAUGUGUAAGUAACUAUGCGCGUCUUGACGGUACCUAAUCAGAAAGCCACGGCUAACUACG